rnacentral:rRNA from 1 species
UACAGAGGGUGCGAGCGUUGUUCGGAAUUACUGGGCGUAAAGGGUGCGUAGGUGGUUAGUUAAGUUAUCUGUAAAAUCCCCGGGCUCAACCUGGGCAGGCCAGAUAAAACUGAUUAACUCGAGUAUGGGAGAGGGUAGUGGAAUUUCCGGUGUAGCGGUGAAAUGCGUAGAGAUCGGAAGGAACACCAGUGGCGAAGGCGGCUACCUGGCCCAAUACUGACACUGAGGCACGAAAGCGUGGGGAGCAAACAGG